rnacentral:rRNA from 1 species
CCUACGGGAGGCAGCAGUGGGGAAUAUUGCACAAUGGGGGGAACCCUGAUGCAGCGACGCCGCGUGAGCGAGGAAGUAUUUCGGUAUGUAAAGCUCUAUCAGCAGGGACGAAAAAAGACGGUACCUGACUAAGAAGCCUCGGCUAACUACGUGCCAGCAGCCGCGGUAAUACGUAGGGGGCAAGCGUUAUCCGGAUUUACUGGGCGUAAAGGGAGCGUAGACGGCAAGGCAAGCCAGAAGUGAAAGGGCGGGGCUCAACCCUGUACAUGCUUUUGGAACUGUGGUGCUAGAGUGCAGGAGAGGUAAGUGGAAUUCCUAGUGUAGCGGUGAAAUGCGUAGAUAUUAGGAGGAACACCAGUGGCGAAGGCGGCUUACUGGACUGUAACUGACGUUGAGGCUCGAAAGCGUGGGGAGCAAACAGGAUUAGAUACCCCAGUAGUC